ACCAUCAACCUUCAACAGCGCCAGCCGCCCUUCCACAGAUCCAUCCGAUCUCCUCCAGCGGACGAACUUCUGCAACACCUUCUGAAUUUCGCUAUCAGCCGACCUUCUGUCAGAUCCCUUAUGCAACUGGACCUCUCUAGUGGACAGCCCUCAGACAAGCUUCUACAUCAGACAAAUUUCAGACGGACUUCUCUGGCAAUCAG
rnacentral:lncRNA from 1 species